rnacentral:tmRNA from 1 species
GGGGAUGCAUUGCAUCGACGAGAAUGCACUUUAAAAAACAGCAAGCCGACACUGAUUGAAAGUCGUAAAAUACAAUCAAAAUAUAAAAGCUAUUGGAUUUAAUCCUUUUAGCGGUCGACAACUUGCAUACGCGCAAGCGUACGUAAACUAAGAUCUGUUUAUAAAAUCUUUUCUCAAUGGGAUUUUAUAAGCAUAAACACAGUUGAGAGCUGAUAAGGAAAGCUGGUUUUUGUCCUUAUUGAAUUUAUAAACCUUGACGCUAUUAAUUCUGGUUGAUUAGAAAAAAAUAGCGUGACUUUAAAAAUCAACUAAGCUUGUAGAAGUUUUUAAUGUAAUUUCUUGCACUCGAGUUCAUAGCUCGACAUCUCCACAA